CGAGCAAUGCUUGCCACACUCAUCAGGUGAAUUUCUAAAAUUCACCUGAUGAGUGUGGCAAGCAUUGCUUGUC